GAUGAACGCUGGCGGCGUGCUUAAUACAUGCAAGUCGAGCGAACGGGCGAGAAGCUUGCUUCUCUGAUGUUAGGGGCGGACGUGUGAGUAACACGUGUAUAACCUACCUAUAAGACUGGUAUAACUUCGGGAAACCGGAUCUUAUACCGGAUAAUAUUUUGAACCGCAUGGUUCAAAAGUGAAAUACGGUCUUGCUGUCACUUAUAGAGGGAUCCGGGCUGCAUGAGCUAGUUGGUAAGGUAACGGCUUACCACGGCAACGAUGCAUAGCCGACCUGAGAGGGUGAUAGGCCACCCUGGAACUGAGCCACGGUCCAGACGCCUACGAGAGGCAGCAGUAGGGAACCUUCCGCAAUGGGCGAAAGCCUGACAGAGCAGCGCCGAGUGUGUGCUAGAGGUCUUCGGAUCGUAAAGCUCUGUUUUUAGGGAAGAACAUAUGUGUCAGUAACUGUGCCCAUCGUGACGGUACCUGAUCAGAAAGCCACGGCUAACUACGUG
rnacentral:rRNA from 1 species